UGGGGAAUAUUGGACAAUGGGGCGACCCUCGAUCCAGCAAUGCCGCGUGAGUGAUGAAGGCCUUCGGUUGUAAAGACUCUUUUGGCGGGGACGCGGUACCCGCAGAAUAAGCCCCGGCUAACUUCGUGCCAGCAGCCGCGGUAAUACGAAGGGGGCGAGCGUUGUUCGGAAUUACUGGGCGUAAAGGGCGCGUAGGCGGUUUGAAUCGUCGGAUGUGAAAGGCCUGGGCUCAACCUGGGAACGGCAUCCGAUACGGUCAGACUUGAGUGUGGGAGAGGAUGGUGGAAUUCCCAGUGUAGAGGUGAAAUUCGUAGAUAUUGGGAAGAACACCGGUGGCGAAGGCGGCCAUCUGGACCACAACUGACGCUGAGGCGCGAAAGCGU
rnacentral:rRNA from 1 species